CCUACGGGAGGCAGCAGUGGGGAAUUUUGGACAAUGGGCGCAAGCCUGAUCCAGCCAUGCCGCGUGUGGGAAGAAGGCCUUCGGGUUGUAAACCACUUUUGUCAGGGAAGAAACGGUCUGAACUAAUACUUUGGACUAAUGACGGUACCUGAAGAAUAAGCACCGGCUAACUACGUGCCAGCAGCCGCGGUAAUACGUAGGGUGCAAGCGUUAAUCGGAAUUACUGGGCGUAAAGCGUGCGCAGGCGGCUUUGCAAGACAGAUGUGAAAUCCCCGGGCUCAACCUGGGAACUGCAUUUGUGACUGCAUGGCUAGAGUACGGUAGAGGGGGAUGGAAUUCCGCGUGUAGCAGUGAAAUGCGUAGAUAUGCGGAGGAACACCGAUGGCGAAGGCAAUCCCCUGGACCUGUACUGACGACUCAUGCACGAAAGCGUGGGGAGCAAACAGGAUUAGAUACCCUGGUAGUCCACGCCCUAAACGAUGUCAACUGGUUGUUGGGAGGGGUUUCUUCUCAGUAACGAAGCUAACGCGUGAAGUUGACCGCCUGGGGAGUACGGCCGCAAGGUUGAAACUCAAAGGAAAUUGACGG
rnacentral:rRNA from 1 species